AACUUUUGGCAAUGGAUCACUCGGCUCGCAGGUCGAUGAAGAACGCAGCAAGUUGCGUUACACGGUGUGAAUUGCAGGACACGCCGAGCACUAGAUUUUCGAACGCAUAUUGCGGCUUCGAGUAAACUACUCGGAGCCACGUCUGUCUGAGGGUCGGAAGAAAUUCUUACCUAUGGUGAUGGUCCGUGUGAGGUGAGCCCCUAAGCGGUGACUUUGCCGGACUCAAGACGCACGUUGCAAGCCAAUUCCGAUGCGAUUGUCGUUGCUAGCGCGGCCCCACGGGUGUUGUGCACGGCGGCGGCGAUACGUAUCGGGUUAACGGAAGCGACAGUGUUACGCAAAAUAAGCGAGAGGGUCUCGGCCCCUCGCGGUUGACUUAAUGUCGACCUCAGAUCAGACGAGAUUACCCGCUGAAUUUAAGCAUAUCAAUAAGCUGAGGCU
rnacentral:misc_RNA from 1 species